rnacentral:rRNA from 1 species
GAUGAACGCUGGCGGCGUGCCUAAUACAUGCAAGUCGAGCGAACAGACGAGGAGCUUGCUCCUCUGACGUUAGCGGCAGACGGGUGAGUAACACGUGGAUAACCUACCUAUAAGACUGGGACAACUUCGGGAAACCGGAGCUAAUACCGGAUAAUAUAUUGAACCGCAUGGUUCAAUAGUGAAAGACGGUUUUGCUGUCACUUAUAGAUGGAUCCGCGCCGCAUUAGCUAGUUGGUAAGGUAACGGCUUACCAAGGCAACGAUGCGUAGCCGACCUGAGAGGGUGAUCGGCCACACUGGAACUGAAACACGGUCCAGACUCCUACGGGAGGCAGCAGUAGGGAAUCUUCCGCAAUGGGCGAAAGCCUGACGGAGCAACGCCGCGUGAGUGAUGAAGGUCUUCGGAUCGUAAAACUCUGUUAUUAGGGAAGAACAAAUGUGUAAGUAACUAUGCACGUCUUGACGGUACCUAAUCAGAAAGCCACGGCUAACUACGUG